UCUUCCGCAAUGGACGAAAGUCUGACGGAGCUACGCCGCGUGAGUGAUGAAGGCUUUCGGGUCGUAAAACUCUGUUGUUAGGUAAGAACGAGUGCUAGUUGCAUAAGCUGGCACCUUGACGGUACCUAACCAGAAAGCUACGGCUACUUACGUGCCAGCGGCCGCGGUAAUACGUAGGUGGCAAGCGUUAUCCGGAAUUAUUGGGCGUAAAGCGCGCGCAGGUGGUUUCUUAAGUCUGAUGUGAAAGCCCACGGCUCAACCGUGGAGGGUCAUUGGAAACUGGGAGACUUGAGUGCAGAAGAGGAAAGUGGAAUUCCAUGUGUAGCGGUGAAAUGCGUAGAGAUAUGGAGGAACACCAGUGGCGAAGGCGACUUUCUGGUCUGUAACUGACACUGAGGCGCGAAAGCGUGGGGAGCAAACAGG
rnacentral:rRNA from 1 species